ensembl:lncRNA
CCACUCUCCACUGACGAUGCCCUCUUCUGGAAAGGUCAGCGUCCCUCACACGCCCCCGUGCUGCCGCGGGUUCGAAGAGCAGGUGGUCGCCGACGGCACGCGGUCGGUGGUCACCUUCAGUUACAUCGAGAAGGCCAACGUGAAGACGUUGGACAGCCCGCGCAGCUCUCUGUGCGAGCGGGGGACCCGGGAGGAAAGAUCCACGCCAUCUCACUUUCGCAAAAGGCUCAGCGACCCGGUUUGGUUCGGGAGUCCCGAUUCAUCGUGCAGCUCCAGUCCCAAGCUGACUUUCCGAUCUCCGGGGAGUCGCCGGCAGACUCCCGGAGUUCGCCAACCGUCCUUGGACCCCAUCGGCAGGGCAGCUACCCAGAGGGCCGUGGAGGAGUUCGGCUCCCCUCUACUGCGGAUCAAACUCGCCCACGCACUCGAGCAAGCCUCGUCCUCACGCUACAACCAGCAGCCGCGCUGUCAGUCCUGGGCCGGGUCGCCCGUUCAGCGUCAGAACAUCAGCGUAAACCUCAAAGACCACUUCCCAGAUUGGAGCCAGGCUGUUUGCGGGCUGCCCCGGAGCCCGGCGUCAGACCAGCUAUCCUCCCAGUCCCGCGUCGAGUCCCAGAGUCCUCUUCUCUGGUCUGUGGCUGGAAGUCCAGCCGUCAAAAGACAUGUUCACAGGUCCAGCACCUCACCACAGGGAGCACUCCUCCAACUUGGCAAUAAUGUAGUUCAGGGCUUGAACCAGUUGAGUGACAGCAAAUCCUCCUCUCCGGCUCAAAGCCCUGACGUCACCCGCAGGCCGGCUGAGGAGGCCACCAAAGUAUCCUCCAUUUUCACAGAGGCCAGAAGGUCCUCGUUGCACAACGCUUUAGGCGCUCCCAGCGGAGAAUUUCACAACUCGGCUCCGAACGCACAAACGCUGAAGAUGAACAUCCCUUUAAACAACCAACACACGCCAGCAACAGACAGCGCCGACUCUCACCGGCCUGAAAGCUCGAUCUUGACAUCGCACGAAACAAACUCCCACGCAGGUUACCGAACGCACCAGGAGGACUGCGUUCAGAAGUGCCAGCGCCAGAGCUUGACGGGUUCCCACGCCAUUCCUUCACGUGUUUUCCGUCCCUCUCACCCCCCGACUGAGCUCAGCUCUCCCAUGAGGGACCCCAGGUUAUUCCAAGCAGAGCUCCGAGCACCGGACACCCCGACGCUGCAUCGCCGGCAGCUCCCGCAGUACGCCAGGGACUCCUGGUGCCCGAGCCCGGACAAGAGGGGAGACCUGAGCUGUUUCGAGCGAGGCGACUGCACCGAGCUCGCCCGCAGGCUCUUCAUCAAUCAGAGUGUUGAGGCGGCGCCGGUCAGCUGGACCUCCAGGCAGCAGUGGGGGAACCAGCUGGAGAACGGCCCGAGGCCGAGCCCCGAGGCCGGAUUCGGGUCCGGCAACGAUCAAACUCCCGAUCGUCAACCCGAUCCCCGUCGCAGGCCGCUCAGUCCCACCGCCGCCCAACAGAAACGAGCGGAGCAGAGGCGGAGAGAGAUCCUGCUCCUGGGGCCGGUGGCGCUCGACUCUCCCGAGGAGGACGAGGGCUGCGAGGAGGAAGGAGGUCGGGGCGACGAGGCGGAGGGAUACGAGGCGGAGCAGGAGAGGGCGGAGGAACCGGCGGAGGCGGAGCAGAACGGAGCGAUGGGAGGGUCGUCCUCGCGGAGCUCCAGCGGGGUGACGGGCAGCUUGGGGGACAGGGACUGCGUGUCCCCCGAGUCCAGUCAGUCCAGUCACCAGAGCAACGAGACCGGCGCCGCCACCUCAGGAAUACAGACGGACAGCGGCUGUGCAGCGCCGGUGCCGUCGCUCCAUUGUCAGAGGAUCGCUCGAGCCAAGUGGGAGUUCUUAUUUGGGACCCCUGCUGAGGAGGCCGCUAGCAGGGGGGAGAAAAACGCCCUGGAGACCUCCACCGCUCCCCCCAGCGGUACCUCCAGCGAGUCUCCCACCCCGACUCCCCCGUCCUCCCUCCCUCUGCUGCUCUCUGCCGACCACGAGGUGCAGCACGUGGAGGUCGAGCUGGUGACCCCUCCUCCGGCCGCCGUCGGCACUUCGCCCAAAACCGGCAUCAUUCGCCGCACGCUGAAGUACUCGGAGACCGACCUGGACGCCGUCCCGCUGCGCUGCUACCGGGAGACGGACAUCGACGAAGUGCUGCUGCUGGCCGAGCAGGACGACGCCGACUCCGCCUUCGGGAGCAACCGCAGCGUGCAGGGCACCUCGGGGACGGGCAGCAGCCCGCUGGGGGGUCCGGAGAGGAGGGUGGAGGAGGAGGGA